rnacentral:snoRNA from 1 species
GAGUUAGCGAUGAUUAUAAAAAUAAUUCAUCGUUCUAACUUAUUUAAUUUUGACAUGACAAACCUUUUAUUACAAUCAUAAAAUUUGAGCUCC